GACGAACGCUGGCGGCGUGCUUAACACAUGCAAGUCGAGCGGUGCGGCGGACGGGUGAGUAACGCGUGAGUAACUGCCCCCCUCUCUGGGAUAACAGUUGGAUACGGCUGCUAAUACCGGAUAGUGGGGGAUGACUCGCGGCCUAUCAGCUUGUUGGUUGGGUAGUGGCCUACCAAGGCGACGACGGGUAGCCGGCCUUAGAGAGCGACCGGCCACAUUGGGCUGAGAGACGGCCCAAAGGCCUACGGGGGGCAGCAGGGGGGAAUAGUGCACAAUGGUGGAAACCCUGAUGCAGAAACGCCGCGGGCGGGAUGACGGCCUUCGGGUUGUAAACCGCUUUCAGCCAUGACGCGGUAGUGGCAGAAGAAGCACCGGCUAACUACGUGCCAGCAGCCGCGGUAAUUC
rnacentral:rRNA from 1 species